GGGGUUGUGGCUCAGUGGUAGAGCAUUCGCCUCACAUGCAUGAGGCCCUGAGUUCCAUUCUCAGCCCCA
rnacentral:tRNA from 1 species